CCUACGGGAGGCAGCAGUGAGGAAUAUUGGUCAAUGGACGCAAGUCUGAACCAGCCAUGCCGCGUGCAGGAAGACGGCCCUAUGAGUUGUAAACUGCUUUUGUACGAGGGUAAACGCAGAUACGCGUACCUUUUUGAAUGUACGUUACGAAUAAGGAUCGGCUAACUCCGUGCCAGCAGCCGCGGUAAUACGGAGGAUUCAAGCGUUAUCCGGAUUUAUUGGGUUUAAAGGGAGCGUAGGUGGUCUGGUAAGUCAGAUGUGAAAUCCCGGGGCUCAACUUAGGAAUUGAAUUUGAUACUGGCAGGCUAGAGAGUAGUUGAGGUAGGCGGAAUUCAUGGUGUAGCGGUGAAAUGCUUAGAGAUCAUGAAGAACCCCGAUGGCGAAGGCAGCCUACUAAGCUAUGACUGACGCUGAUGCACGAAAGCGUGGGGAUCAAACAGGAUUAGAUACCCGAGUAGUC
rnacentral:rRNA from 1 species